rnacentral:rRNA from 1 species
CCUACGGGCGGCUGCAGUGGGGAAUAUUGGACAAUGGGGGCAACCCUGAUCCAGCCAUGCCGCGUGUGUGAAGAAGGCCCUCGGGUUGUAAAGCACUUUCAGUGAGGAAGAACGCCUGGUGGUUAAUACCCAUCAGGAAAGACAUCACUCACAGAAGAAGCACCGGCUAACUCCGUGCCAGCAGCCGCGGUAAUACGGAGGGUGCGAGCGUUAAUCGGAAUUACUGGGCGUAAAGCGCGCGUAGGUGGCUUGAUAAGCCGGUUGUGAAAGCCCCGGGCUCAACCUGGGAACGGCAUCCGGAACUGUCAAGCUUGAGUGCAGGAGAGGAAGGUAGAAUUCCCGGUGUAGCGGUGAAAUGCGUAGAGAUCGGGAGGAAUAACAGUGGCGAAGGCGGCCUUCUGGACUGACACUGACACUGAGGUGCGAAAGCGUGGGUAGCAAACAGGAUUAGAUACCCCAGUAGUC